rnacentral:rRNA from 1 species
CCAGCCAUGGUGACACCGGGUUACGGAGGGUUAGGGCUCGACCCCGGAGAAGGAGCUUGAGAGAUGGUUACUACAUCCAAGGAAGGCAGCAGGCGCGCAAAUUACCCAAUCCCGACCCGGGGAGGUAGUGACAAUAUAUACUGAUACAGGGCUCUUUUGGGUCUUGUAAUUGGAAUGAGUACAAUUUAAAUCCUUUAACGAGGAACAAUUGGAGGGCAAGUCUGGUGCCAGCAGCCGCGGUAAUUCCAGCUCCAAUAGCGUAUAUUAAAGUUGUUGAGGUUAAAAAGGUCGUAGUUGAACCUUGGGCCUGGCUGGCCGGUCCGCCUCACCGCGUGCACUGGUCCGGCCGGGCUUUCCCUCUGGGGAUCCGCAUGCCCUUUACUGGGUGUGCCGGGGAACCAGGACGUUUACUCUGAACAAAUCAGAUCGCUUAAAGAAGGCCUAUGCUCGAAUGUUCUAGCAUGGAAUAAUGGAAUAGGACGUGCGGUUCUAUUUUGUUGGUUUCUAGGACCGCCGUAAUGAUUAAUAGGGACAGUCGGGGGCAUCAGUAUUCAAUUGUCAGAGGUGAAAUUCUUGGAUUUAUUGAAGACUAACUACUGCGAAAGCAUUUGCCAAGGAUGUUUUCAUUAAUCAGGAACGAAAGUUAGGGGAUCGAAGACGAUCAGAUACCGUCGUAGUCUUAACCAUAAACUAUGCGGACUAGGGAUCGGACGGUGUUAUUUUUUGACCCGUUCGGCACCUUACGAAAAAUCAAAGUGUUUGGG